rnacentral:misc_RNA from 1 species
CUGUUCAUCUUCAUCUCUUUUGAGUUUGUAUCGGUCACCUUCUAAAGAAUCACCAUGAGAAUUAUAGCCCUUUGUCGAAUCACUCUUAAUGUCACUGGCUUUGUCCCUAUUUCUAUUGCUACGCCUUUCCCUCUCCCUCUCACUCUCCCAAUCUUGGCCCCUAACUCUGUCCCUCUCCCUAUACGUAUCGCUAUCCUUCUUCCUCUCUCUUUCCUGAUCUCUGUGUCUCUCACUAGACCUAGUAACAUCUUUAUCUUUGCUUUUAUCUCUUUCUUUCUGCCUUUUCUUGCCCAGAUCCUCCUCCAUGUCCCUCCUCCUAUCCCUCUCCACCUCCCU